CUUCUCCCCCUGGCUGUGUCUCUGCCUCUCUCUCAGUGUAUCUCAUGAGUAAAUAAAUAAAAUAUAUAAAAAAAAGAAAGUCCUGCUGCCUUCUCCAAUGAGGAUAGUAUUGGGGUAUAUAAGAAAUAAUCAUAUGUAUGGCUUGAGAUUUAAAAAAAAUGCCUUCCAAAUGUUUUUAGUUUAUUGAGCUCCUUAACAUGUAAGACCUCUUUUUUUUUGUUGUUGUUUUAAUCAUUCUCUGGUGUGAAAGGAAGCUAGUGAGAACCAUCCCUGUUUUACAGGAGAGGAUACUCAAAGAAGUGAAGUGACUUUCCCAAGUUCCUCAACUAUAGAUUUUGAAAGAACUGAGAUUCAGAUCCAGAUGGGUUGACUUUAAAGACCAAGUUUUGUUUAUCGAGAUUGCAGUUCCCUCCCAUGAGCUGAAUUAAACAAGCAAAACUUAAACGAAGAACUAAGUAGGAUUGUGUUUUCAAACACAUCCUCUUUACAUCAUUAAGCAGCUACUAGAUGCCAGCGUUGUUCCUGGCAGGCACUGCAGAGGCGGGAGUACAGACAGAGCACGUGCCCUCAGGCUGUAGGCAUGUCAUUGGCUCUGGAAGCUGCAGGAAAGGAAAUGACUGCCUUGAGAGCAGCAGGAACAAAUCACCAGGAGAGCACAGUGAGGAAGUAAAAGCCUCACUGUCAGGAAUUCACCUAACCUAGAAAAACACCCUUCCUCACUUCCAGUGUGUUUCUUAACUAAACACCUGCUUAACACAGAUUGAAACCAUCACACCUUUGUUGUACAGGUUGGUUUGUAUGUGUGAAGCUGGGAACACCCCCAAGCUCAUUGGAUCACAUAUGGAAACACUUGCAAUGAGGUCACCACGUUUUCAUGUUCCCUGUUAUCUCUCUCCCUUUCAGUGAUGUCCUUGGACGUACGGAUCACUGGCAGCCUCACAGGGGCAUAGCACAAUUCUUCCCUGAGUGUGAAGACAGAAGUUGCAGUAUAAACUCAAAAGAUUUCAGUCUAACCUCACUCAUUUGUGCAAACACCAACCUCAUGAAACUCAUGAAAUGUGCUUCUGUAGCGUUCUAGUCACAUUGUUGCUGAGUUGCCUGAUGCACAGGGUCAAAGAAAGAAACGGGCAGUUGCCCUAAGGUGACAGACGCGUCAAGGAGAGGGGGCACCAGAUGGAGCACCCUGAAGGAAAUGCUGAAACUCAGAAUCUGAUGGUCUGUAGAUUUUCUUGGGUCAGUCAAACCCUAGUUUCAAUCCUGACUUCCUGCUCAUCUUUAUGAAGGGUUUUCCAGACUCCUUGGUGGUAGCCAGGGGCAAGAGGUCGCUCCAGGAAGCAAGCACACAGUCCCGCAUUGACAAAAGCUAUUAAUUAUCCUCUCUCCCAUAAAGCUGGGUCACCUAGUAGAACAAAUGGGACGGUGUAGUUGCACACUUAGUUCAUUCACCCUGGCCAUAAGUCAGUGUAGGAGAGGGUAGGAUGCUCCCAUUCUCAUGGCUCUCUUGAGAAUACAGGAUGCUGAUAAGCUUUUUCUUAGUUGUGACCCAAGGUUUAGCUCCUGUGAGGUUACUCUUUAUCUUCUGACUAAGCCUUCCAAAGGCCCGUCGCAAACCCUCCUCUAAGGCGAAGUAGACGAGACCAUGUGUUAUUCCUAACCUGAUGACUAUUUCCUUCUUUGACCUGUGACUCUUCUCAGAUAAUAUUAUUACAAGAUUUACUGUAGUGAGAACAACCAGUAGUGGUUUCUGUAGUGCUGAGUAAUAGGCAGAUCCUCUGUUCUUCUUGGUUAAAUUCCAUCUGUCUGGUUUAUUUUCCUUUUUUGUGGAUGAUCCAUACUCUUUGCCUUUCUUCUCACUAUUUUGCUUAUAUUUUACUAACCAAAGCCAGCUCUUCUAAACUUAUUCAUAUAGUAUGCUCUACUUAUAUCAGAUACAGAAUUUUUCACAGAAUACAUAUGCACGUGAUCAUGUCUAUAUAUAGUUUUUAAGCACAUGUGCAUGUGUGUGAUUUGCCACCAACUCUACGUGUCUUUCUAAAUAUCUCCCUAUAAAAGAGAUCCUUUUCUCCUGAUUGUCACACUUCAUAACUUGGAAUCUCAAGUUCCCUGAAAUGGGACUGGAGAUUAAUUCUCAUUGCUGAUAGGGCUAAAUCAGUGAAUUACUAUUUCUUGGCCAUAUCAAGGUUUCUGGGUGAAGGGCUCUGAAAUUGGUAUUUCCCAAAAGCUGUGGGGGUGGUUUUAAUGGCAGAUUCUCAGUUUCAGCCUUCUAGAAGGGCUGUUGGUUUGACUCAGAGAAAGCUAGGCUCAAAAAACUGUCUUCCUCAUUUAGUCAGUCAAUAUUUGUUGGCAACAAUUAUUCAGUAAGCAACUCAAAUUAAAUUCCCUGCCUAGUGUAGGGUGACAGUGGUAGCUUUGAAGGUAGAGGACAUGCUACUGACUUUCAUAAUUUUAGAUCUCCCUGAUUGAGUGAAUGGAAAAACAGGACAACUGAUUCCUGAUUCUUAAGUAUAGGCAUACAAAGAUACAAAGCUCCCUUCUCACUUUCUAUUUUCUCUUGGUGAAAUGUAGUUAUCAUAAAUGCAAAUUAAGGCCCUAACAUGUGCUGGACAAACUCUUGUGGUAAAGUAGUCAAAACGAGAUGCAGACUCUUCCUUGCUAAAUUAAGAGGUAUUAUAAUUUUUUAAAAAAGAUUUUAUGUAUUUAUUCAUAAGAGACACAGAGAGAUAGAGAGGCAGAGACACAGGCAGAGGGAGAAGCAGGCUCCAUGCAGAGAGCCUGACGCGGGACUCGAUCCUGGGACUCCAGGACCAUGCCCUGGGCUGAAGGCAGGGGCUAAACCGCUGAGCCACCCAGGGAUCCCCAAGAGGUAUUGUAAUUGUGAUAAGCGACAUGAAGGAGAAGUCCAGGACACUCAUUUCAUUUAAGAGGUGUACAAAAAAAAAA
rnacentral:lncRNA from 1 species